GCACUAACACACCCACAUUCUUUAUCUCAUGGUGCCUUAUAAAUACAGAGUGAACACACACAUUUGACACCAGUCAUUUUACUUUCUACACCAGGAAAAGUCUCGACCGCACUUGUCAACAAGACAAAAUGAGUGGAGAGGGCAAAGGGGAGGAAAUGCGAAACCAGAAGCCAGAGGAGGAGGAGGAGGAGAGCUCAGGAUCUGAGUCAGACGGACAAGGAGGAAGACGUAAGAAGGAGAAAGGAAAGAAAGGAAGAGAGCAUGGGAAAGAAAUGAGUGGACGUGGUGGACGUGGAGGUGGAGGUGGACGUGGGAAAAAUCCUUAAAUCAUCAUGCUGUGAUAGUGAUUGUAAAGAAUUAAAUACAACGCCAAUAAACUAAUCUAAGACAAAUGCAA